AAUGUUGAGUCCAAGUGGAUCGUAGCUGAGAGACUUAGAGCCCGGACUCAUUAAAAAUCAACACUGUGCUCUGAGUUGGAAGUACAUGGACCCACGUCCCAUAAACUCAGCUUGGGGCUCAUUCCCCUGUGCACGCACGUGGC
rnacentral:lncRNA from 1 species